UACGUAGGUGGCAAGCGUUGUCCGGAUUUAUUGGGCGUAAAGCGAGCGCAGGCGGUUUCUUAAGUCUGAUGUGAAAGCCCCCGGCUCAACCGGGGAGGGUCAUUGGAAACUGGGAGACUUGAGUGCAGAAGAGGAGAGUGGAAUUCCAUGUGUAGCGGUGAAAUGCGUAGAUAUAUGGAGGAACACCAGUGGCGAAGGCGGCUCUCUGGUCUGUAACUGACGCUGAGGCUCGAAAGCGUGGGGAGCGAACAGGAUUAGAUACCCUGGUAGUCCACGCCGUAAACGAUGAGUGCUAAGUGUUGGAGGGUUUCCGCCCUUCAGUGCUGCAGCAAACGCAUUAAGCACUCCGCCUGGGAGUACGACCGCAAGGUUGAAACUCAAAGGAAUUGACGGGGCCGCACAAGCGGUGGAGCAUGUGGUUUAAUUCGAAGCAACGCGAAGAACCUUACCAGGUCUUGACAUCCUUUGACCACUCUAGAGAUAGAGCUUCCCCUUCGGGGCAAAGUGACAGGUGGUGCAUGGUUGUCGUCAGCUCGUGUCGUGAGAUGUUGGGUUAAGUCCCGCAACGAGCGCAACCCUUAUUGUUAGUUGCCAUCAUUUAGUUGGGCACUCUAGCGAGACUGCCGGUGACAAACCGGAGGAAGGUGGGGAUGACGUCAAAUCAUCAUGCCCCUUAUGACCUGGGCUACACACGUGCUACAAUGGGAAGUACAACGAGUUGCGAAGUCGCGAGGCUAAGCUAAUCUCUUAAAGCUUCUCUCAGUUCGGAUUGUAGGCUGCAACUCGCCUACAUGAAGCCGGAAUCGCUAGUAAUCGCGGAUCAGCACGCCGCGGUGAAUACGUUCCCGGGCCUUGUACACACCGCCCGUCACACCACGAGAGUUUGUAACACCCGAAGUCGGUGAGGUAACCUUUUUGGAGCCAGCCGCCUAAGGUGGGAUAGAUGAUUGGGGUGAAGUCGUAACAAGGUAGCCGUAUCGGAAGGUGCGGCUGGAUCACCU
rnacentral:rRNA from 1 species